CCAACAGGGAUUGCCUUAGUAACGGCGAGUGAAGCGGCAACAGCUCAAAUUUGAAAUCUGGCCUUGGCCCGAGUUGUAAUUUGCAGAGGAUGCUUCUGGUGCGGUGCCUUCCAAGUCCCCUGGAACGGGGCGCCAAAGAGGGUGAGAGCCCCGUCCGGUUGGCCGCCAAGCCUGUGUGAAGCUCCUUCGACGAGUCGAGUAGUUUGGGAAUGCUGCUCUAAAUGGGAGGUAGACCCCUUCUAAAGCUAAAUACCGGCCAGAGACCGAUAGCGCACAAGUAGAGUGAUCGAAAGAUGAAAAGCACUUUGAAAAGAGGGUUAAACAGUACGUGAAAUUGUUGAAAGGGAAGCGCUUGUGACCAGACGUGCGCCGGGUGUUCAGCGGGCGUUCUCGCCCGUGUACUCUCCCCGGCGCAGGCCAGCGUCGGUUCGGAUGGGGGGAUAAAGGCGUUGGGAAUGUGGCUCCCCCGGGAGUGUUAUAACCCAGCGUGCCAUGCUCCCGUCUGGACCGAGGUUCGCGCUCUGCAAGGACGCUGGCGUAAUGGUCCCCAGCGGCCCGUCUUGAAACACGGACCAAGGAGUCGAGGUUUUGCGCGAGUGUUUGGGUGUCAAACCCGCACGCGUAAUGAAAGUGAACGCAGGUGGGAGCUUCGGCGCACCACCGACCGAUCCUGAUGUUCUCGGAUGGAUUUGAGUAGGAGCGUAGGGCCUCGGACCCGAAAGAUGGUGAACUAUACUUGGAUAGGGUGAAGCCAGAGGAAACUCUGGUGGAGGCUCGCAGCGGUUCUGACGUGCAAAUCGAUCGUCAAAUCUGAGUAUGGGGGCGAAAGACUAAUCGAACCAU
rnacentral:rRNA from 1 species